ACUCCUACGGGAGGCAGCAGUGGGGAAUAUUGCACAAUGGGGGAAACCCUGAUGCAGCCAUGCCGCGUGUGUGAAGAAGGCCUUCGGGUUGUAAAGCACUUUCAGUAGGGAGGAAGGUAGUGUAGUUAACACCUGCAUUAUUUGACGUUACCUACAGAAGAAGCACCGGCUAACUCCGUGCCAGCAGCCGCGGUAAUACGGAGGGUGCGAGCGUUAAUCGGAAUUACUGGGCGUAAAGCGCAUGCAGGCGGCCUGUUAAGUCAGAUGUGAAAGCCCGGGGCUUAACUUGGGAAUUGCAUUCGAUACUGGAUGGCUAGAGUAUGGGAGAGGAUGGUAGAAUUCCAGGUGUAGCGGUGAAAUGCGUAGAGAUCUGGAGGAAUACCGAUGGCGAAGGCAGCCAUCUGGCCUAAUACUGACGCUGAGGUACGAAAGCAUGGGGAGCAAACAGGAUUAGAUACCCUGGUAGGCUCUG
rnacentral:rRNA from 1 species